rnacentral:tRNA from 2 species
GUAGCGCAGCUUGGUAGCGCGUCUGCUUUGGGAGCAGGAUGUCGCAGGUUCAAAUCCUGUCGAGAGUACCA